rnacentral:lncRNA from 1 species
UGUUGAGUAGAUUACAAUAAUAAUUAUUAAGGUAGAAAUGAACAAGUUUUCAUACAAAACUAUAAACCAACAUAUUUUUUGCAAAUACUUAAUUUCACGUUUACUCCUUAAUAGCACUUUUCGCCGCGAUUUUAUAUCGCGAUUUUCAAAUUUGCUUGAUCAUGUUGAUGAAUUAAAUAGGUAAAGAUCCAAAUCGUAGUUAGUCGCGACUAUUUCUAUUCGAGUUAUUUUUCGAAUGCAAAUGUAAAAUGUAAAAAUCAUCGUAGAGCAUCGCGUAAAUAGCAUAAUUUAAGGUGGAUUUGGACUAUUCCACUGCGCAUAAUUUCACGCAUGAAUUAAAAAUCACACGAAAAGUAUGUGUCGUAAAUUCGAUAUUUUUUUUUUUUUUUUUAAAUAUUUUGAUUGAUUAGAAAUGUUAAAUCAUUGUAGUUAUGUCACUAAAAAAAUAUUAUCGUUAUUAUGUGUAUCUGCGAAAGGCUCAAAAUGUCAUUUCAUUCAAUUUCACCAUUUUCCCGUCAAAAUGUGAGUUUUAAGGCAAAAUAUACUUUUCCCUUAUCGGUGACCAAUGUUUUCAGCUUUUUAUAUUACAGUUUUGGACCAAGUGUCAUAGAACUUUUUUUUUUAUUCCGAAAAAAAAUAUGUCAACACCUCUAUUGUGUCUAUCAUUUCCAGUGUUCCACCUAGGAUUUCAAAAGGGCAGGGUGCCAAUCCUGAAAAAUGGCAUUUAACGCGUGAUAUGAUAAUAUGAAAAGGGC